GCGUGCUCCACUUGAUUCGGAGUUGCUUUUGAUUUUGGUAUACCGAAGCCCAAGCGUUAUGAGAACUUUCAGAACUCAAUUCAGUCAGCAUCUACCUCACAAGGUGUAGCACAACCUUUAUCAACUGAAUCAACACCUUCGUAUUUUGAUGAUACACCACAAGUUCAACCAAUAGUACGACCAACACCGCGUCACAACAACCACCAUCUAGAAAGCGUAGUGGACGUGUGUCUAUGCAACAUUGGACUGUAGAUGCAUAGAUUCACAAGGAGCUAGCAAGAUACUUAAAGUGAAGAAAAGGAACGUGUUAAAUUUAUCUAAUGGAGAACGUAUUGUGGUUGAUUUUGACGACAUGGAUUCUCCCAUUGGUGAAGGACAAGGUGUUCUUGCAGGCUUUUGUGGAAUUUUAGCAACUGACUGCUCCAUUUUUCCAAUUCACUUUGAGAAAUGGCCGGAUUUACAUGUGACAAUCUUCAAUCGUUGUUAUGAUCGAUUUAUAAAGCCACGAUUUUGUUUUCGGACAAUUGAGUCAAAUGCAAGACGAUAUGUUUAUAAUUCUAUGUGUAAGAAGUGGGGCGCAAAAAGGCUAAAGUUGUUUGAUAAGGUCUAUGAUCCACUUAAGAGCAGAGCUGAGAUAAUGGAUAGCGUUCCACUGGAAAUUCCACCGGAUCAAUGGAUUUCUUUUGUUGAUUACCGCUCUAGAGAAAAGACACAAGAAAUUUGUAAAAGAAAUGCUGAAAUUCGGAAGAAACAAAUUGUUUCACAUAUCGGUAGCUCCAAACCUAACUCGAGAAGAAGGGCUGAAAUGAUGGCUGAGACUGGACAAAAGCCUGGACGAGGACAGUUUUAUCUCGUUACACAUAGGAAUGAAGAUGGAUCAUAUGUUAAUGAGGCGGCAAAAGAGAUAUGUCAUUGAGCCAAAGCACCGUGGAUGAGUCUGAAAUUUCGCCAAAUGAUGCCGUUGGUAAGGUGCCGGGAAAAGAGUACUCUUGAAGGGUAAGGUGCUUGGGAUUAGGAGCUGUUCUUGGCUGAGCUUUUAGACAAACAAGACCUCGUUAUAGUGAUUUGAAUGCUUCAACUUAUAAUAAUGGUUCAUGUUCUUCCCAAUGCCAAGAGAAAUACAAUCAAAUGUUGAAUGCUCACAAUCAAAGCCAAGAGAACUACAGAGCAAUGAUGAAUGUUAACGCCCAAAUGAUAAAUGCUAACACCCAAAUGAUGAAUGCUUUUAAGGCGUAUAUGAUAAUGAAAGAAGGGAGGAUACCCGAGGAAUUUGCAGGGAUCUUUGUUUCUCCUCCUCAUUCAACACCAAGUGAUGGGACUAGCAGAUCCAUUUCACCCAUGGAUGUUAGAAGAUCAUCUGGUAGAAGUAAUCCUAACGACAACCAUUGAAGUUCACUUGCAAAUGUAUCGUACUCAAUUGAAUGGUCAUAGGAGAUCUUUUGUCCAUAAUAGUUGGAGUAGAUGUUUUGUUUAAAGUUUGUUUUAAGACUAACUAUAAUACUGAUGUUUUGUGUUCAAUGGAUGGAGUAGUUGUGUUUAAAACAAG